rnacentral:lncRNA from 10 species
AACAUUCCAUGCUCAUGGGUAGGAAGAAUCAAUAUCGUGAAAAUGGCCAUACUGCCCAAGGUAAUUUAUAGAUUCAAUGCCAUUCCCAUCAAGUUACCAAUGACUUUCUUCACAGAAUUGGAAAAAACUACUUUAUAGUUCAUAUGGAACCAAAAAAGAGCCCGCAUUGCCAAGUCAAUCCUAAGCCAAAAGAACAAAGCUGGAGGCAUCACGCUACCUGACUUCAAACUAUACUACAAGGCUACAGUAACCAAGACA